rnacentral:rRNA from 1 species
UUCCAGACUCCUACGGGAGGCAGCAGUGGGGAAUAUUGCACAAUGGGGGAAACCCUGAUGCAGCGACGCCGCGUGAGCGAUGAAGUAUUUCGGUAUGUAAAGCUCUAUCAGCAGGGAAGAAGAUGACGGUACCUGGCUAAGAAGCCCCGGCUAACUACGUGCCAGCAGCCGCGGUAAUACGUAGGGGGCAAGCGUUAUCCGGAUUUACUGGGUGUAAAGGGAGCGUAGACGGCGAUGCAAGCCAGAUGUGAAAGCCCGGGGCUCAACCCCGGGACUGCAUUUGGAACUGUGUGGCUGGAGUGUCGGAGAGGCAGGCGGAAUUCCUAGUGUAGCGGUGAAAUGCGUAGAUAUUAGGAGGAACACCAGUGGCGAAGGCGGCCUGCUGGACGAUGACUGACGUUGAGGCUCGAAAGCGUGGGGAGCAAACAGGAUUAGAUACCCCGGUAUA